GACGAACGCUGGCGGCGUGCCUAAUACAUGCAAGUUGAGCGCUGAAGGUUGGUACUUGUACCAACUGGAUGAGCAGCGAACGGGUGAGUAACGCGUGGGGAAUCUGCCUUUGAGCGGGGGACAACAUUUGGAAACGAAUGCUAAUACCGCAUAAAAACUUUAAACACAAGUUUUAAGUUUGAAAGAUGCAAUUGCAUCACUCAAAGAUGAUCCCGCGUUGUAUUAGCUAGUUGGUGAGGUAAAGGCUCACCAAGGCGAUGAUACAUAGCCGACCUGAGAGGGUGAUCGGCCACAUUGGGACUGAGACACGGCCCAAACUCCUACGGGAGGCAGCAGUAGGGAGUCUUCGGCAAUGGACGAAAGUCUGACCGAGCAACGCCGCGUGAGUGAAGAAGGUUUUCGGAUCGUAAAACUCUGUUGGUAGAGAAGAACGUUGGUGAGAA
rnacentral:rRNA from 1 species